GACGAACGCUGGCGGCGCGCUUAACACAUGCAAGUCGAACGGAAAGGCCUGCUUUCCCUUGUGGAUUGCGGGUACUCGAGUGGCGAACGGGUGAGUAACACGUGAGUGAUCUGCCCCCAACUUGGGUAUAAGCCUGGGAAACUGGGUCUAAUUCCCGAUAGGACUGCAGGGUGGUGCCUGUGGUGGAAAACGAUUUUCUAGUGGAUGGGGAUGAGCUCGCGGCCUAUCAGCUUGUUGGUGGGGUAAUGGCCUACCAAGGCGGCGACGGGUAGCCGGCCUUGGAGGGUGGACGGCCACAUUGGGACGGAGAUACGGCCCAGACUCCUACGGGAGGCAGCAGUGGGGAAUAUUGGAUGAUGGUCGGAAUCCUGAUGCAGCGACGCCGCGUGGGGGAUGACGGCCUUCGGGUUGUAAACUCCUUUCGACCGCGAGGAAGCCACCUGGUUGGAAGGGUGGUGACGGUAGUGGUAGAAGAAGCACCGGCUAACUACGUG
rnacentral:rRNA from 1 species